UGCGUAGGCGGCCUGGCAAGUUGGGUGUGAAAUCCCUCGGCUCAACCGAGGAAUUGCGCUCAAAACUGCCAAGCUAGAGGGAGACAGAGGCGAGCGGAACUCAGGGUGGAGCGGUGAAAUGCGUUGAUAUCCUGGGGAACACCAGUAGCGAAAGCGGCUCGCUGGGUCUUUUCUGACGCUGAGGCACGAAAGCUAGGGGAGCGAACG
rnacentral:rRNA from 1 species